GUAGUACUCCCCCCGUCCUAAAAUUCUUGUCUUAGAUUUGUCUAAAUACGGAUGUAUCAAGUCACAUUUUAGUAUUAGGUACAUCCGUAUCUAGAUAAAUCUAAGACAAUAAUUUUGGGACGGAGGGAGUACUAA
rfam:Triticum urartu cultivar G1812 contig295079, whole genome shotgun sequence.